AACGGUUUCACACAUUUAUCUAUCCACCGAGGCGUAUUUUGUGAUUGUAUUUCGGGUACGUGUAUCUUUGAGGUGGGUGUCCAGUGUAAUGCGGGGAGCAGCUGAAGUUUAGGAGGAGGGGGAGGGCGCUUCGCGUCUCUCACGGCCACGCGGCAGCAGCAGCCCGCAUCGCGCCGCCCCAUUCACGUUCCGGGCGUCGCCCUCGCGACCUCUCCCGGCGGCGGCUUCGCAGUGAGCGCGCUCCCAUUGUGUCUGGGGGACUCCUCCUAGGUCGACUCGGCCUUCAACGAGCACUUGGUGCGGUGUGUGUAGUAAACGUCAGCACUAGGGAAACAAAGGUGGCCUCGUGCGCGGUCCUGACCUCCAAGGCCUCCCGUGUGCCCUGCCGCUCUUCCUCUACGGUGCUGCUGCUGAGCGCGGAGGCGUCAGCCAGGUUCGUCUCGACGGCGACGCUCCACGCGGCCUCCACCCGGUCCCCACGAGGUCUCCACGCGGCCUCCACGCGGCCUCGGGCCUCGGCGCGACUGGCGGCGCGAGCGAGAGGAGCCGCGCUCCGCCCGUGGCGCCGAUGAUGAUGCGGCGGCGGCGCGUGAUGGAGGUGAUGUUUGUGAUGGUGCUGGGUGUUGCGAGUGGCACCUACAUCUACCGCCCGCUGCUCUUGGAGCAGGCUGCCCUGCAACGCACCAAGCAAGCCGCCGCCGCCGCCGGCGAGGAGCCUGGCACCAAAGUGGAGCGGGCGGCGCGCGAGCUGCCAGGCAAACUUCCCGAGCAGCCAAAUGCGGCCGCGGCGAGCAACGCCGAUGAUUGAUGCUGGCGCUGCAGAGGCGAGAUGUUGACUACCUCGCCUGGUUUACAUGCGGUUGUGGGCUUGAUCCAGACCCUGACGCCUGCUGUGUAUUCGGCGUUUGCGUGCAUCUCUCGCCGUGGUCACGUGGAUUUUUCUCAGGGUCCUUCGUUUUUUCCCUCCACAUUUAGAUUCAACGUUUCGAGUAUUUGGCUGUUAUAAAUUUCCACUUGAUAAGCCACUUUUUUGAGCUAUCAUUUGUGGCCAGGUCACUUCUAAAAAUUAACUAAAUAGCUCAGUGGGCCUUACCUGCUAAGAUAAAACAUAGUUUAAAGAGUUUGUGAUUAGCCUCACAGCGACUUUGCCGCUUGGUUUGACCUAUGCACGAGUGACGCAGUCGACGCUUUGACAGAUAAUUGACGUACAUCGUCUUGGAGCCGGUACUGUGACGUGUGUUAGAGGUGUUAUUUUAGUCAAAAUGUAAUAACCGGGAAAAAAAAAUCUGUAAUCACAUGUUUAUUUGUUAUAUGUGCUGGGGUUAUUGUCAUAUUUCCAACAAUUAAAAAUGUAAAAAAAUGUAAUGUUUUACCUGUUUUUUAAUAUAUUCACAUCAAC